GUUUUCCCUGCACUGGGUCCGUGCUUGAAUCUGCAGCGUCAGCCUUUGCAGCACUAGAGAGUCUGUCUUGUCUCUCACAGGAUUAGUUUGGAGCAGCAGACUGAGAGCGAUAAGAUAAAGACACCUGUAUAUGUCCACUUUAAUACAUGGAAUCAGCUGGUUCAUGUACGUAAAUGAGCCAUAAAGGAGCAAAGGAACAUCAUUGCACUACUGUCAGCUAGAUGAGCACAUCUCAUUAGCCAAUCACAAG